rnacentral:rRNA from 1 species
UACGUAGGGGGCAAGCGUUGUCCGGAAUCAUUGGGCGUAAAGCGCGUGUAGGCGGCUCGAUAAGUCUGCUGUGAAAGUCCAGGGCUCAACCCUGGAAUGCCGGUGGAAACUGUCGAGCUAGAGUCCGGAAGAGGCGAGUGGAAUUCCUGGUGUAGCGGUGAAAUGCGCAGAUAUCAGGAGGAACACCAAUGGCGAAGGCAGCUCGCUGGGCCGUAACUGACGCUGAGGAGCGAAAGCGUGGGGAGCGAACAGG